CUCGGGAAGAGCACAGGGAAUGCUCCUUCCCCUCGAGUUCAAGGACAAAUAGCCCUUGUUUGGAAGUGAUGGAGUGGGAAGGGAAUCUUCCUGGCACAGAGACAGUGCAGGGAUUUCAGACCUGUUUCGAUCCUGAGCAGUCCAUGCCUGGGUGUCACCACUCUAUUUUUACCCAGCACUGCUCCAGCCCUGCCUCCACAGCCAGCUCAAGGUGACAGCGUGACCUCCGCAGCAGCAGCACCUGAGAGCAGCCCUGGGAUCCCCAGGAUUGACUCCUGCAGGGAACACAGCUCUGGAAGCAUCAAAAACAUGAAAGAAAGACAAAUUCCAAGCUCAGCACCUGGCCAAAUGUCAACACAGAGCCCAGAUGGUUUCAGACAAGCCACAGGACACGUUCAAAUUACACAGAACAAGCUUUCAGAGAUUUUCCAGCCUCCUGCCUGUAAGGGAAGCUUUCUAAGUGAAAGAGUCUCGUGGAACCUACAAAUCAGUAUUUUGAAAAACAUCACACCUGGACGGAAACUGUGCUAAUAAAGACUAAGAGAUGGAAGAAAAAUGUGUUUCUCCAACUGCCAGCCCUAAAUGACUUCUUUUUUCAUUCUUAAUUUUGCUGAGAAGGUGCCAAAAUGAUGGAAAAAAGGACAGAAACGCCAAUAUCUAGCAGAAGCCAAUUCCACUCUGCUUUAAGUUAUUUUCCCCCCAAGUCUUUAUUUACAUAAGUAUUUCCAAACAUUCCAUUUAGGCAUUUUGUUCUCCAAACAAUCUUUAAGUUAAAAGACAGUAACAGGAAGGAUGGAAAAGAAGCUUUAUAAAAUCAACUACCUGACAGGAUUUCAAUGCUUUCUAAACUGGAUCCUACAACAUGUAAAUAAAGUGUCACACAAAGCCCUCCAGGGAAAUUCAAAGCUCAAAGUUGGAGAUGUUACUCUGGGUGAAAGGAAAUAAAGAAAUAAAUAAAAUUGUCACAUA